rnacentral:rRNA from 1 species
GGGGAAUAUUGGACAAUGGGCGCAAGCCUGAUCCAGCCACGCCGCGUGAGUGAUGAAGGCCUUCGGGUCGUAAAGCUCUGUGGGGAGGGACGAACCGCUGUCGGUUAAUACCCGGCAGCAUGACGGUACCUCCUUAGCAAGCACCGGCUAACUUCGUGCCAGCAGCCGCGGUAAUACGAAGGGUGCAAACGUUGCUCGGAAUUAUUGGGCGUAAAGCGCACGUAGGCGGCUUAGCAAGUUGGAUGUGAAAGCCCUCGGCUUAACCAAGGAAGUGCAUCCAAAACUGCUAAGCUUGAGUAGUUAAGAGGAUCGCGGAAUUCCCGGUGUAGAGGUGAAAUUCGUAGAUAUCGGGAGGAACACCAGUGGCGAAGGCGGCGAUCUGGGAACAUACUGACGCUGAGGUGCGAAAGCGUGGGGAGCAAAC